rnacentral:tRNA from 1 species
GGGCGUGUAGCUCAGUUGGGAGAGCGCUGCGUUCGCAAUGCAGAGGUCGUGGGUUCAACUCCCAUCACGUCCAC